rfam:Dipodomys ordii contig_52635, whole genome shotgun sequence.
GGUGGCUCAGUGGCAGAGCACUUGCCUUGCAUGCAUGAGGCCCUGGGUUCCAUUCCUCAGCACCA